ACAACACACACUCUCACGUAGUUACAACAAAUAGAAUAUGCAGAAGCUUCACUAUUCUGAUGGAAAAAAGGUGAAAAUACAAAAGGAAAAUAACACCUAUUUAACAUGGGUAUAAUCCCUUUAUUUCAGCAUGACUCAAUCAAACACUCCUGGAUCAUGAACUAGAUCCGACCCAUGACCCGUUGAACCAACCGAUUAACCCAACAUAGAGAAAGCAUA